rnacentral:rRNA from 1 species
UACGUAGGGGGCUAGCGUUGUCCGGAAUCAUUGGGCGUAAAGCGCGUGUAGGCGGUCCGGUAAGUCCGCUGUGAAAGUCGGGGGGCUCAACCCUCGGAUGCCGGUGGAUACUGUCGGGCUUGAGUACGGAAGAGGCGAGUGGAAUUCCUGGUGUAGCGGUGAAAUGCGCAGAUAUCGGGAGGAACACCAACGGCGAAGGCAGCUUGCUGGGACGGUACUGACGCUGAGAUGCGAAAGCGUGGGGAGCAAACAGG